rnacentral:lncRNA from 1 species
AAGUCCUCACAUAGUAGUUAUUCAGUGAAUGUACCCUGGGAUCCACUUUUCACCUUUCCCCUUACCUGCUUUGUGCUUCAAGAAACUGACUUCAACAGACAGCAUCAUCUGGGCUUCUUUACCCUGUAGUGUUCAGCUGAGUUCAGCCAAUGGAAGACACUAGUAGAAGACUGGAAGGAUAGAGGAGAGAAAGAUUGGAAUAUUUAUUCCCAUCUCAUACUACAGUUUUUGUAGUGAUGGUUCUUCCUAUUGGACAGCUUCCACCUAUAACUACAGUUCUCUCCUGGUUCCAGAAACUGCUUUCUCCACUUCUGACCUAGGAGUAGCCACAGCUCCCAGCUGUUGUUAGACCCCAGGUGUAUUUUGUCAUCUCUUGUUACUUCCCUUAACCCUGCCACAGCUCUGAAAAUAG